rnacentral:lncRNA from 1 species
AUGGUUCAGGCUGCUCGGGUUAGCAAAGAGUUACCGCUCAAGGGAGGAACUGGAUAUGUGGAGGGCUAUCCUGGUGGCUCGAGACUGACCCGUAUACCAGGACGUGUGCUUCCGGUUCAACCCGGGCUAGCUAUGGAACAGGCUUGUGAACUAGGGACUCCGUUUCGGUAUCUUCAUCGACUGGAUAAAGAGUUUCAACUUAUGGGGCGGUUCUUUAACUGGGUCAUUUUAUUAGUGAAUUGGCUCUGCGUCCGUGGGAUCAACUCUAUCUUAGAGAUCUGGAGGAUCCACAACUACAAGCUCUCGAUUGGGAACAGGAUCUGCUACUGCUGA